rnacentral:piRNA from 1 species
UAGACGUACUGAAGAAAAACU